rnacentral:rRNA from 1 species
UACGUAGGGUGCGAGCGUUGUCCGGAAUUACUGGGCGUAAAGAGUUCGUAGGCGGUUUGUCGCGUCGUCUGUGAAAACCCAUCGCUCAACGAUGGGCCGGCAGGCGAUACGGGCAGACUUGAGUACUGCAGGGGAGACUGGAAGUUCCUGGUGUAGCGGUGAAAUGCGCAGAUAAUCAGGAGGAACACCGGUGGCGAAGGCGGGUCUCGUGGGCAAGUGAACUGACGCUGGAGGAACGAAAGCGUGGGUAGCAAACAGGA